AUACGUAGGGGGCAAGCGUUAUCCGGAUUUACUGGGUGUAAAGGGAGCGUAGGCGGCAAGGCAAGUCUGAUGUGAAAACCCGGGGCUCAACCCCGGGACUGCAUUGGAAACUGCUUAGCUAGAGUGAAGUAGAGGCAGGCGGAAUUCCUAGUGUAGCGGUAAAAUGCGUAGAUAUUAGGAGGAACACCAGUGGCGAAGGCGGCCUGCUGGGCUUUAACUGACGCUGAGGCUCGAAAGUGUGGGGAGC
rnacentral:rRNA from 1 species